rnacentral:rRNA from 1 species
CCCCACUGCUAUCGAGGUUGGGACUAAGCCAUGCUAGUCGAACGACCCGGACUAUGGCGGGAAGUGGCAGACUGCUCAGUAACACGUAGCUAACCUACCCUUGGGACGGGUACAACCCCGGGAAACUGAGGUUAAUACCCGAUAGGUGUGGAAUCCUGGAAUGGUACCACGCCCAAAUGUAAACGCAUCCAUGUUUGCGUAAACGCCCGAGGAUGGGGCUGCGGCCGAUCAGGCAGUUGGUGAGGUAACGGCUCACCAAACCUUUGACCGGUACGGGCCAUGAGAGUGGUAGCCCGGAGAUGGGCACUGAGACAAGGGCCCAGGCCCUACGGGGCGCAGCAGGCGCGAAACCUCCACAAUUCACGAAAGUGAGAUGGGGUUACCUCGAGUGCCGCCUGAAGAAGGCGGCUUUUCCAUUGUGUAAUGAGCCGUGGGAAUAAGAGGGGGGCAAGACUGGUGUCAGCCGCCGCGGUAACACCAGCCCCUCGAGUGGUGGGGAUGAUUAUUUGGCCUAAAGCGUCCGUAGCCUGCUCUGUAAAUCUUUCGUUAAAUCCAGCGUCCUAAGCGUUGGGCUGCGAGAGAGACUGCAGAGCUAGAGGGUGGGAGAGGUCAGCGGUAUUCCUGGGGUAGGGGCGAAAUCCAUUGAUCCCAGGAGGACCACCAGUGGCGAAGGCUGCUGACUAGAACACGCCUGACGGUGAGGGACUAAAGCUGGGGUAGCGAAUCGGAUUAGAUACCCGAGUAGUCCCAGCCGUAAACGAUGCAGGCUAGGUGUUGGGUUGGCCACGUGCCAGCUCAGUGCCACAGGGAAGCCAUUAAGCCUGCCGCCUGGGGAGUACGGCCGCAAGGCUGAAACUUAA